GGCUCCAUAGUGUAGUGGUUAGUACAUCUGCUUUACAUGCAAAAGGUCCUGAGUUCGUGCCCCAGAUGGAGCCA
rfam:Pteropus alecto contig36020, whole genome shotgun sequence.